GACUUUUUUGUUAUUAAUGGAGUGAAUUGGGGAAUUUGGGUUUAAAUGAAAGGGGGGGGGUGGAGAACUAGGAUGGACUAAAUUGGACGGAGGAUUCGAAAAGGCGAGGUAGAAGGGGCUUUAAAUUCGCAUUUCUACACGGAAACGUAAUGAAGAAAACUGGAAAAUGAAACAUUUUAGUACCAGAGUGGCACAAAGAAAUCAAACGAGAUUUCGCAAGUAGCGGUGAGCGAAAGUGGAAUAGUUCAAUGGUCUGUUGGAGGGCGAGUAAAUAGUGGAAGAGAGGUGCUCACAUAUCUAAGACUAAAUGUUAGUUCCAUACCGAAAGAGAGGGAGUACUGUAAAGGAAAGUUGAAAGAGACUUGAAAAGAUCUUGAAAUCAGUCCUUUAAAGCAGCUGUAAUACAGUGUACCUUUUGUAUAAUGGGUUUAUGAGACAUCGUUUGGCAAAUUUAAGUUCGGAUCCUAAAAAAGUAUCAGACAGCAUUGAGAUUGUUGUCCCGGCCUUGGGGGGGACGGUAUAGGUGAAGAGAAUGGAGGUAAAGAGAAAUCGAGGGUGCUCUCUUUAGUCAAAUUGCCCGAAACUAAGUGAUCUAACCAUGGGCAGUUUUAAGGAACGAACUGGUGGUUGUAGCAAAAACCUCGGAGGACCUAUGGUUGGGGGGGAAAGCCUAAUCGAACUUGGAGAUAGCUGGUUUUCUGCGAAAACUAUUGAAGUAGUGCGUUCACAACUCGGGGUUGGAGUUAAAAGAGUUUUUAUGGUAAAGUUGGAUCGCCCGAAAGGGGGGGAGAGACCAUGGAUGUAAAAAUCAAAGUGGACAGGCAGACAGUGGGCGAGAAAGUGCAUUGUCAAAAGGGGGAGCCCUAAUCAGAAGUUAAAGUCAUAAAUCGAUUGGAGAGGUCUCCAAAUAGUUAAGUGUAAAAGGAGUAUGGGAUUUAAACAAUGAGGAAGUAGGCUUGGGGCCAGCCAUCUUUGAAAGAGGGCGUAGUAGUUCACUCGAGAAUUUUUUUUUCCUUAAAAUUAGGGUGACUAAAAUUGAACUGAAAUUCUGAGGGCGAAGUUUGCUUGGUAGUAGAACGGACUGUUAGAUGGUUUAGUGAGAGCCCAAGCAUCAGAAGAGAUAAUGUGAACAUGAGUAAAUAAUUGUUGAACUACUUCUCCAGGUUACCAAGCCCCAAAUUGCAUUCUAGUCUUUUACAGCUCCUCUAUUAAACCCGGCUGUUUUACUAAGCUUUAGUGCUACAGGUGAGGUUAUUAGGAGGGGGGUAUUGUGGUAAUGUUUUGGGGUUUGGGUAAUACAGCCCUUAAGGUGGCGGCCGAAGGUCGCUUCGAUGGGAGAUAGUAAUAAACGCACAAAGUGUCAGGAAAGAAUUAUUAAAAGUUGGUACUGUUGUGGACUAACACAAGUGGGAGAUAGUGGAGGGGAAAGUUUUUUUAAGGAACUCGGCAAAUUUUUGGCUUCCAUUAGGGAGUUUUAUAAUACAAGGCCUCGACUGUUUACCAAAAACAUAGCCCUUUGCUAAUAUGAAAGUAGAAGUAUGGAGGGUGAGACCUGCCCAAUGGUUGUAUCUGAAGGGGUCGAUGGGGUCGAUUAUAUAAAGAUAAUUGAAUGGCUGCGGUAACAGUGACCGUGAAAAUGUAGCGUAAUCAAUAGUCAAUUAAUUGUUGGCCGGUAUGAAUGGUGUCACGAAGGUCUCACUGUCUUAAGAAAAUCCCCUGUGAAAUUGAAUUUGUAGUGAAGAUGCUACAUUCAAAUUGUUAGACGAAAAGUCCCCAUGGAACUUUACUGGAGACUUAUGUGGCCUAUUCUGACAAAUAAAUAGUUAAGACUAUGUGGUGUAAAGAAACUUAAGUAAAAAAAUACAUAUGAGUUUAAAUUUAAGUUAGUAAAACUCACUCUUUUAUUUUUGGAGGGCUAACUCUUCUUUCGAAUUAAGUUAGAGAAAUGAGGUAAGUUAGACAGUUUGGUUGGGGCGAUCGCCUUUUAAAAAGUAACGAAGGUGGGCUUAAGAUACAGAUUUAAUAGUUGUCGUCUGACUGUGAAGGGGGGGCCCUGAGCAGACACUAAAAAGAGCUUUGCGCGGGUAAUAGUGGGUUGCAGUGACCCGUUGAUUUAAGGUGAAAUAGUCAACGAUAAACAAAUAAAAGUUACCCUGGGGAUAACAGCGCAAUAACGUUAGAGGGGUUUUCUUGAUGACGAUGUUUGCGACCUCGAUGUUGAAUUGCGGCAUCCUGGGGUGCAGUCGCUCCCAAGGGUGGGUCUGUUCGUCCAUUAAAGCCGUACAUGAUUUGAGUUAAAAGCGUGGUAACACAGCUUGGUUUCUAUCUACAAUUUGAAUAAACAUUGAUAUAACUGUUUUCUAGUACGAAAGGAUCGAAAAAUUAGUGGUUUUCUUAUUUUUAUAAGUUACGAUCAAUCUAUUGGCUUCGAUAAUUUUUGAAGAUGCCUUUUCGUUAAUCGCUGAUCGCUUCUAAAGUGUGAAAAUUAUAUUAAGUUGUUUGAAGUUCUGUGGCGGAGUUGGCUCUUGUUCAAUAUGGGC
rnacentral:rRNA from 1 species